rnacentral:lncRNA from 1 species
UUCUGAAGAUUCUUCGUCUUGAUGUUUUUCUUUAUUUAUUAUUUGUAUAUCUGUUUCAGUCAUUUGUUAUAUUAUAGAAUUCAUUGUCUGAUUCUAUUUCUAUAUCAUUAUCUAUUUCAUUUUCUGAUAUUUCAUAUAUACUAUCUUCACUUUCUAAUUCAUAAUCUAUGUAUUCUAUCUGCGUAUAUUUUUCAUCGUCUAUUAUUAUUUCUGAUAUUUGUUUUUUCUUUGGAUUUUUAGGUAAUUUACAAUCUCUAGCUAUGUGUCCUAAUUUUCCACAAUUAUAACAAGUACACUCCGUUAGUUUUCUUUUUGGU